rnacentral:rRNA from 1 species
CCUACGGGAUGCUGCAGUCGAGAAUCAUUCACAAUGGGGGAAACCCUGAUGGUGCGACGCCGCGUGGGGGAAUGAAGGUCUUCGGAUUGUAAACCCCUGUCAUGUGGGAGCAAAUUAAAAAGAUAGUACCCCACGAGGCAGAGACUGCUAACUCUGUGCCAGCAGCCGCGGUAAUACAGAGGUCUCAAGCGUUGUUCGGAAUCACUGGGCGUAACGCGUGCGUAGGCUGUUUCGUACGUCGUGUGUGAACGGCGCGGGCGCAACCCGCGGACGGCACAUGAUACUGCGAGACUAGAGUAAGGGAGGGGGAACCGGAAUUCUCGGUGUAGCAGUGAAAUGCGUAGAUAUCGAGAGGAACACUCGUGGCGAAGGCGGGUUCCUGGACAUUAACUGACGCUGAGGCACGAAGGCCAGGGGAGCGAAAGGGAUUAGAUACCCCUGUAGUC